CAGCAGCCGCGGUAAUACAGAGGGUGCGAGCGUUAAUCGGAUUUACUGGGCGUAAAGCGUGCGUAGGCGGCUUCUUAAGUCGGAUGUGAAAUCCCUGAGCUUAACUUAGGAAUUGCAUUCGAUACUGGGAAGCUAGAGUAUGGGAGAGGAUGGUAGAAUUCCAGGUGUAGCGUUGAAAUGCGUAGAGAUCUGGAGGAAUACCGAUGGCGAAGGCAGCCAUCUGGCCUAAUACUGACGCUGAGGUACGAAAGCAUGGGGAGCAAACAGGAUUAGAUACCCCCGUAGUCCCUGUCUCUUAUAC
rnacentral:rRNA from 1 species